CAAAUUUUAUCAGUACGAUGAACUCUUGAUGAUGUUGACUCCUGUUGUUAAAAUGUGAAUUACAGCGUACAGUUGAUCUGUAUACCUUUUUUAUUUUGAAAUAUGAUCUCGUUAUUGCUUAAAAAUUAUUCUAGACGAUAUUCUCAUUAAGCUAAUAAAUAGAUUGAACGAUACAGUGUUAGCUAAAUGGAUAUGAUAUUUUUGUGAUGUUCCGUCGCUAAAUUGAUACAAUUGCUUUCAAAGGAGCGAAUAGUACCUAAGUAAAAUGCUGUAGCAGAUUUGAUCAAUUUCAGCAAAAAUGUGGACAUUUGUGAUUAUGAACAGUCAAAUAUGGGUGAUAAGAAUGCAGUUUGAGAAUUGUUCGUUCUAUGCUCUUAAUUCCUAUAACUGUAUUCGUGAAUCCAUCAUGACGAUGUUGAAAAUCAAUACUUGUGUCAUAAAUGAAUUACCUCGGAUCUAAUCUUAUUUAAAGUGUCAAAUAUAAUUCAACCUCGGUAACUCGAGCUUCGAGGAAAGAGCUUAAAGUCUUCCAGUUAUAAAGAGAGGUUUCAUAAAAGAAAAUUCGACGUAUCGAGUCAUCGUACAAGUGUUAAUAUCUUACUAAUUAUAAGGGGCUAAACAAAUAAAGAAAUAUUAAAUUCUUGAACAUGAGUUACAUACCUAUACGUAUACAAUACAAUGUGUAGAGUGUGCAUACAUAUAUGUAUAAUCAUAAAUCGUGUUAGAACUGUAUGACGUAUAAUAUGCAAGUACAAUGACUCACAAAAAUAUUCGGACACUAUAGUGCAUCUAUUCGACUUUAACGUUGCAAAUGUAUGCCACUCAUUCACGAAGGAAACCUUACGUUUUGGUCUCCAUAAACCUAAAACGUAUUCAAUCUAUACCGGGAUUACCGGGACAUCGAUUCUUUCCUCCUGGUAAUCCGGAGCUCAUAGAAGUACGUUGACCAAGUUUCAUCAUACACACGCUAAAUAGUAUUCGACAAAUAAAACGAAGCGAACAAUCAUGUACACACUGCUUUUAAUUACAAUCUUAAUUUUCAUAGAUUCAAAGCUGGUACAUUCACUGUACUUCCUUGUAGUGUCCUCUCCCUUCACCGCUUCCUUUUAAUUCUAAUAUUCCAAUUACAUCUACCAAUUGCCAAUAUUUUGUUAGUCGGUCUUCGACAUCUUGGAUUACUUUUGUAUCAGAAAGAACAUUCACAAUUUAACAAUCUCACGCUGAUUUCGUUAACGACGUCGUCCUAACGGCACACGAAAAUAAAGCGACAUUUUUGGGUUUAAGUACG